rnacentral:tRNA from 1 species
GGGGUUGUGGCUCAGAGGUAGAGUGCUCACCUGACAUGUGUGGGGCACUGGGUUCAAUCCUCAGCACCA